rnacentral:rRNA from 1 species
UACAGAGGGUGCGAGCGUUACUCGGAAUUACUGGGCGUAAAGCGCACGUAGGUGGCGACGUAAGUCGGGUGUGAAAGCCCCGGGCUCAACCUGAGAAUUGCAUUCGAGACUGCAUUGCUGGAGUACGGAAGAGGAGGGCGGAAUUCCCGGUGUAGCGGUGAAAUGCGUAGAUAUCGGGAGGAACAUCAGUGGCGAAGGCGGCCCUCUGGUCCAGUACUGACACUCAAGUGCGAAAGCGUGGGGAGCAAACAGG